UAACGUUUGUUUAAAGACGGUUCUUUCAAAGAUUUCUACUAAACUGAAGACUUGGAAAAAGUUGUCAGGACUUGAUAUAUUUACGACCUUUCGCCUCCUCGUUUAGAACGUUCAAAUAUGGAACUUAGGACUCAAUCUUCAUUUAAUACUAAUUUUAAUACCAAACGUUUUAGAAACAGUUUUAUAACUAAUAACUCAUUGAAGAUGUAAUUUAGUUAUAUUAUUUAUGUAUGUACUCUAUGUAAUCUUAAAGGUAUUUCAGCAAUAUGGCUGCCAGUUUUAAAAAAUAAAUCAUCUAUCUAUCUA